CCCCCCGCAUUCGGCUUAUGGCCCCGCCCCCUUCUCCCCUCAAGGCGCUGGUUAGCUAACAGUAGCAUGAAGCUAGCGCACCUGGAGCGGCGUCUCGAGACCAAACAUGCUAAUCACGCCGGCGCACAGCAACUGUCCGUCAAACUUCGACGCCGUGGCGACCAGGGCGUGAUCCGCCUCAAUGGCGGUGACAGACAGUCCGAGGCCGAAGGACAGGAAACGAGUCAGGUGACCCUGUUGAGAGCGGAUGAAUGUUUUGAUGAUAAACUAACAAGCACCCACUAGAGCGCCAGAUGUGGAUUCAUCCGCCGCUGAAAAUAGUCCCCAACAAAUGCACGAUUCCCUGCUGUUUGUUUGAUAGAAACAGCUGUUUUGAGGAGGUUUACACAUUUGUGUGUUUUUUUAAUAUUAUCAUUACGUGUCAUGACAUUUGCUGACAGAAUAAUAUAGUAUUGUUUUAGUUGUUUAACCAUAACCACACUGAGCUCUCUGCAGCUCAAACAGAGGUGAUGCUACCUGUCCGGAGCCAACGUCCACCACGGUGCUGCAGUCGGUCUGGUCACACAGCUGUUUCACCAGCUGGAUUUUAAA